UGUCUUAUUAUAUAGAUAUCCCUCUACCAUCCUAUUUUUGCAAUCAUACCCCUCCUGUUAGAUUUUUGAUUGGUGUUUUUUUUUUAAUAGCCAUUUUAAGUGUGAAAUAAUGCUAUUACUCCUUUCCAUGAACACCCUUGAAAAAUUUAGUAUUUAAUUUAUACAAAAGAGAUAUGUUUUUGCUUAAAUUUUUCAAGGGUAUUGAUGUUAAAGGAUAAUAAAAAUAUUUUUCACUAAAAAUAUUUGGUCAUUGAUAUCUCAAUCAAAAAUCUAAGGGGAUAGGUGAUUGGCAUAUAUAGAAAGAUUUGAGAAGUGUAUAUGCAAAUAGUGAUUUUUAAAGGAUACUUAUAUAAUAAAUUGUAUUUAUAAGGGUAUGUAUGCAAAAAGUUCUUUUUCUAAUAUUGAAAUUUUAGCAUUCAUGGUGCAUAGAACUUUAUUUUGAAUUUAUUUAAGUUUGAGGUUCUUAUGUUUCAAUCCAAGCUUUUAUAUCAUCGAUAACUUGGGCUUAAGGAGGC
rnacentral:lncRNA from 1 species